rnacentral:rRNA from 1 species
AUGAAGGGGUGGGGCGCCAACCUGGGGCGCGACCUCCGCGAGCAUAAGAAGGCCCUGCUGUCUGCGAUCCAAGCCCUGGACUUGCGCGCUGACACUACCGGCCUCUCUCCCAAGGAGUGGCUUUCCCGCUACGACUUGGAAGAUCAGCUCUCUGUCAUCUACACUGAUGAAGAGGCCUACUGGCGGUUGCGUGGUGCUCAGAAAUGGGUCUUGAAGGGCGAUGCGAAUAUGGCUUACUUUCAGGCCAUUGCUAAUGGUCGUCGUGGGCGCAACACCAUCCCCCUCCUUUGGGAUGACCUGACCCUCCUGCAGUCCCCCCGAGACAUUAGGUCCCACGUCGACGGCUUCUAUAGGGCCCUGUUCAUGGCCGCUCCUCGGAGCAGCCUAUAUUUGGCUCUUGACUGCUGGUCCCGUCGCCAGCUUAUCACCGAACCUGAGAACGCCGCCCUAUUGGCCCCCUUCUCAGAGGCGGAGGUCUGGGCCGCCAUCAAAGGCAUGAAUCCUACCUCGGCCCCUGGCCCUGAUGGCCUUCCAGUCAAGUUCUUCAAAAGCUUCUGGAACAUGAUCAAGCCGGAGGUCAUGGCCCUCUUCGAUGAGUUCUACGUUGGGUCCAUCGAUCUCGGGCGCCUUAAUUACGGGACUAUAUCGCUCAUCCCCAAGGUCCCUGGCGCUUGUGACAUCCGUCAGUUUCGCCCAAUUACAGUGAUCAACGUGAUCUUUUGGAUUCUGGCAAAAGUGUUCGCCAAUAGGGUGACCCUGCUCGCGGACCAAAUUACUCACCCCAACCAAUCGGCAUUCAUCCAAGGCCAUUAUAUUCUGGAUGGGUUGCUGGUCCUUCAAGAAGUCCUGCAUGAGGUCUGUUCCAAACACCUCAAGGCGGUCUUCCUAAAGAUCGAUUUCCAUAAGGCCUAUGACAUUGUUAGCUGGCCCUUCCUUCGGGAAGUUCUCCUGUGA